rnacentral:rRNA from 1 species
UAAACGAUGCCAACCAUCAAUCCGCGCGUAGUACCCUUCUUAACGGACUCGGCGGGCAGCUCCCCAUUCACGGGAAACCAGAGUCUCUGGGUUCCGGGGGGAGUCUGGUUGCAAAGCUGAAACUUAAAGGAAUUGACGGAAAGGCACCACCAGGCGUGGAGCCUGCGGCUUAAUUUGACUCAACACGGGCCACCUCACCAGGCCAGCACUCUUGUACGAUUGACAGAUUGAGAGCUCUUUCUCGAUUCAGUGGAUGGUGGUGCAUGGCCGUUCUUAGUUGGUGGAGUGAUCUGUCUGGUUAAUUCCGAUAACGAACGAGACUCUCCCCUACUAACUAGUCGGUUGGAUCUUGCUCGGUGAGUUGUGUGCCGAGUAAACUCGGAGUGCUUGAUGGUGUGCGUUGGUCGGUGCGCAACUUUGUUGUGCCCUUCCUCGUGCACUCCUGCCUUCGAGCCUCGGGUCACACACUCCAAGUCCGCCGCUUAUGCUUAUGACUCUUCUUAGAGGGAUUCACGGUACUGAAGCCGUAAGAGACUGAGAGCAAUAACAGGUCUGUGAUGCCCUUAGAUGCUCUGGGCCGCACGCGCGCUACAAUGCCGGGCGCAACAGGUAGUUUUCCUAUUCCGCCAGGAACGGGUAACCUUUUGAAAGCCCUUGCUUUAUCGUGUCUGACACGAAUGGCGUGCUUGGGCCUGGGGCUUGCAAUUCUUUCCCACAAACGAGGAAUGCCUAGUAGCGGCGGGUCACUGAGCCCGCCGUGAUUCAGUCCCUGCCCUUUGUACACACCGCCCGUCGCUACUACCGAUUGGGUGUACCAGUGAGAGCCUUGGACUGGCGUCCGUUGCCUUCGGGCAAACGGUUUCGACGGAAAGAGGUCC